CCUACGGGUGGCAGCAGUGAGGAAUAUUGGUCAAUGGACGAGAGUCUGAACCCGCCAAGUAGCGUGAAGGAUGAAGGAUCUAUGGUUUGUAAACUUCUUUUAUAUGGGAAUAAAGUGAGGCACGUGUUCGUUUUUGUAUGUACCAUAUGAAUAAGCAUCGGCUAACUCCGUGCCAGCAGCCGCGGUAAUACGGAGGAUCCGAGCGUUAUCCGGAUUUAUUGGGUUUAAAGGGUGCGUAGGUGGGUAAUUAAGUCAGUUGUGAAAGUUUGUGGCUCAACCGUAAAAUUGCAGUUGAAACUGGUUGACUUGAGUACAGUUGAGGUAGGCGGAAUGCGUGGUGUAGCGGUGAAAUGCUUAGAUAUCACGAAGAACUCCGAUUGCGAAGGCAGUUCACUAAACUAUAACUGACACUGAGGCACGAAAGUGUGGGGAUCAAACAGGAUUAGAUACACUAGUAGUC
rnacentral:rRNA from 1 species